UUCUUUCUCCUGGUGCAAAGCCGGGGUUCCGAAGAAGGAUGCGGCCAUCCGGCCGAGAAGCUCUCUCCCCGCAGAACAUGCAUCCGUCCCCUCAUCUUCUGUGAUUAUGGACGACAAAUAAGCAAAUGUUUACUGUAAGAAGAUGAACAUGGUGGUGAUGUUGCAUGGAGAGGUGGGAGAAAGCAAACCACCACCACCACUUUCCCAAGAAGAUGAACACGCCGGUCUAUGACCACCCUGCGAGAGAGAGAGAGAGAGAGAGAGAGAGAGGUAUGGUGUUGGUCGAGUGCCCGAGAAAAGUACAGCUGCGGGCGGUGGAAACAGUCGGCGUCCGUGUCGUCGUCUGAGCCGGACUCUCGCGUUACAGAAUCGGGUGCUGAGCUCGGAAAAGAUACCGGAGGAAGUGGCCGACAGACAGCAGAGGGACGUCGAACCAGUAGGACGCCGAGGACGUGCGCGCAAACAAGACAGAGAGAAAAAGAAUGAUGUGAUGCUUCCUUCUUUUGUAUGAUCCUAAUGUAGUUUAUGUAAACCGUGGAAUCGUAUCGGAUGUGGAAAUGCUACGUUUUUUGGGAUUUUAUUUAGAAAUGUAUGUUAGUCUUU